UACGUAGGGUGCAAGCGUUAUUCGGAAUUACUGGGCGUAAAGCGUGCGCAGGCGGUUUCUUAAGUCGGAUGUGAAAGCCCCGGGCUUAACCUGGGAACUGCGUUUGAAACUGGGAGACUUGAGUGUGGCAGAGGGGGGUGGAAUUCCACGUGUAGCAGUGAAAUGCGUAGAUAUGUGGAGGAACACCGAUGGCGAAGGCGACUCACUGGACACAUAUUGACGCUGAGGUGCGAAAGCGUGGGGAGCAAACAGG
rnacentral:rRNA from 1 species